AGUUGGCGGGGUAACGGCCCACCAAACCGACGAUGGAUAGGGGUUCUGAGAGGAAGGUCCCCCACAUUGGUACUGAGACACGGACCAAACUCCUACGGGAGGCAGCAGUGAGGAAUAUUGGUCAAUGGCCGAGAGGCUGAACCAGCCAAGUCGCGUGAAGGAAGAAGGAUCUAUGGUUUGUAAACUUCUUUUAUAGGGGAAUAAAGUGGAGGACGUGUCCUUUUUUGUAUGUACCCUAUGAAUAAGCAUCGGCUAACUCCGUGCCAGCAGCCGCGGUAAUACGGAGGAUGCGAGCGUUAUCCGGAUUUAUUGGGUUUAAAGGGUGCGUAGGUGGUGAUUUAAGUCAGCGGUGAAAGUUUGUGGCUCAACCAUAAAAUUGCCGUUGAAACUGGGUUACUUGAGUGUGUUUGAGGUAGGCGGAAUGCGUGGUGUAGCGGUGAAAUGCAUAGAUAUCACGCAGAACUCCGAUUG
rnacentral:rRNA from 1 species